AGCUAGUCGAGCUGAGAUUUCGUCACACACCAGACCACAAGGGCUGAUGAGACUUACAAGAUAAGUGAAGCG
rfam:Schistosoma curassoni strain Dakar, Senegal genome assembly, scaffold: SCTD_contig0001708